rnacentral:rRNA from 1 species
CCUACGUGUGGCUGCAGUGGGGAAUAUUGGACAAUGGGCGAAAGCCUGAUCCAGCCAUGCCGCGUGUGUGAAGAAGGCCUUCGGGUUGUAAAGCACUUUCAGUGGGGAAGAAAGCCUUGGGGCUAAUACCCUCGAGGAAGGACAUCACCCACAGAAGAAGCACCGGCUAACUCCGUGCCAGCAGCCGCGGUAAUACGGAGGGUGCGAGCGUUAAUCGGAAUUACUGGGCGUAAAGCGCGCGUAGGCGGUCUGAUAAGCCGGUUGUGAAAGCCCCGGGCUCAACCUGGGAACGGCAUCCGGAACUGUCAGGCUAGAGUGCAGGAGAGGAAGGUAGAAUUCCCGGUGUAGCGGUGAAAUGCGUAGAGAUCGGGAGGAAUACCAGUGGCGAAGGCGGCCUUCUGGACUGACACUGACGCUGAGGUGCGAAAGCGUGGGUAGCAAACAGGAUUAGAUACCCGUGUAGUC